UACAGAGGGGGCAAGCGUUAUUCGGAAUUAUUGGGCGUAAAGGGCUCGUAGGCGGUCCAUCGCGUCGGGAGUGAAAAGCUGGGGCUCAACCCCAGUCCUGCUUCCGAUACGGGUGGACUAGAGGUAUGCAGGGGAGAACGGAAUUCCUGGUGUAGCGGUGAAAUGCGUAGAUAUCGGGAGGAACACCUGUGGCGAAAGCGGCGCACUGGACCACUUCUGACGCUGAGGCGCGAAAGCUAGGGGAGCAAACAGG
rnacentral:rRNA from 1 species